rnacentral:rRNA from 1 species
CAACCUGCCGCGCACAGCGGGAUAGGCUUUCGAAAGAAAGGUUAAUACCGCAUGGUUCAUGAAGGCCGCAUGGCUUUUAUGAUAAAGAUUUAUCGGUACGCGAUGGGGAUGCGUUCCAUUAGACAGCAGGCGGGGUAACGGCCCACCUGGUCCACGAUGGAUAGGGGUUCUGAGAGGAAGGUCCCCCACAUUGGAACUGAGACACGGUCCAAACUCCUACGGGAGGCAGCAGUGAGGAAUAUUGGUCAAUGGGCGAGAGCCUGAACCAGCCAAGUAGCGUGCAGGAAGACGGCCCUAUGGGUUGUAAACUGCUUUUGAAGGGGAAUGAAGUGGCCCACGUGUUGGGUUUUUGUAUGUACCUUUCGAAUAAGGAUCGGCUAACUCCGUGCCAGCAGCCGCGGUAAUACGGAGGAUCCGAGCGUUAUCCGGAUUUAUUGGGUUUAAAGGGUGCGUAGGCGGCCAUUUAAGUCAGCUGUGAAAUUUCGGCGCUCAACGUCGGACGUGCAGUUGAAACUGGAAGGCUUGAGAGCACAAGAGGCAGGCGGAAUUCAUGGUGUAGCGGUGAAAUGCUUAGAUAUCACGAAGAACUCCGAUUG